rnacentral:rRNA from 1 species
AUUGAACGCUGGCGGCAUGCCUUACACAUGCAAGUCGAACGGCAGCACGGGUGCUUGCACCUGGUGGCGAGUGGCGAACGGGUGAGUAAUACAUCGGAACGUACCUUAUCGUGGAGGAUAACGCAGCGAAAGCUGUGCUAAUACCGCAUACGCCCUGAGGGGGAAAGCGGGGGAUCGCAAGACCUCGCGCGAUUAGAGCGGCCGAUGCCUGAUUAGCUUGUUGGUGGGGUAAAAGCCCACCAAGGCGACGAUCAGUAGCUGGUCUGAGAGGACGAUCAGCCACACUGGGACUGAGACACGGCCCAGACUCCGACGGGAGGCAGCAGUGGGGAAUUUUGGACAAUGGGGGCAACCCUGAUCCAGCAAUGCCGCGUGAGUGAAGAAGGCCUUCGGGUUGUAAAGCUCUUUUGUCAGGGAAGAAACACCGGCUCUAACACAGUCUGGGAAUGACGGUACCUGAAGAAUAAGCACCGGCUAACUACGUGCCAGCCGCCGCCGUAA